AAUCGCUUAGGAAAAGUAGUGUUUUCUUUUGUUGAAAUCAAAGAUUAUUAGAAGAUAUGGUCACAAACGAAGAGUGGAAGUCUUUGGUGCCAUUUCCACUACGGUACCAACGACAUAAGGCACCUGCUUGAGAAAACAUUAUCACUCUUUCUUUAUUUGGAUAUUUUUUGAAAAACUUAAAAACUAUAGCAAAACCAAAAACCAAAAUAAAAAGCUGAAUAUCAAAAAUAAAAAGCUAAAACCCAAAAACCAAAAAUUAAAAACUAAAAUCAAAAUAAAAAGCUGAAAAUAAAAAAUAAAAAGCUAAAAACCAAAAACCAAAAACUAAAAACUAAAACCAAAAUCUAAAAACUAGAAACAAAAACUAAAAACUACCUCAAACAAUCAUCACCUUAUUAGUGUAAAACUCUCUUAGUAUUUUGGGCUGGAUCUAAUUAAGUUAUAUAAUUUUAGAUUAUUUUAUAUGAAGGGCAUAUAGUUAAAAACUAAUUUUGGAAAAAGCUUAUUUUGAUCUUGCACAAAAAUAUCUGAUAUUAUACUUAUCGGGGUAUAUAUUAGCUAAUGAAAUGAUUGAAUAGGUUAAGAGAGUGGGCAUCAAAGAUAUUAUAACUAAAGUUAAUCGCUUAGGAAAAGUAGUGUUUUCUUUUGUUGAAAUCAAAGAUUAUUAGAAGAUAUGGUCACAAACGAAGAGUGGAAGUCUUUGGUGCCAUUUCCACUACGGUACCAACGACAUAAGGCACCUGCUUGAGAAAACAUUAUCACUCUUUCUUUAUUUGGAUCUUUAAUUUUAAUAUUAUAUAUGCAUUAAUCCAUAGGCAAAUCUCCAAAAUAUCAUAUUUCUAAGUUUAUAUCACAAAAAUAGCACUCAAAAACUAAAAUGACCAAAAUAGUAUUUUAUCUUUUGAAAAUUUUAAUUUUUUUAUUUUUCAAAAUUUGAAAUCUUAUCCCCAAAACCUCAUUUCUCAACUCUAAACCCUAAACCCUAAACUCUAAACCUUAAACCCUAAACCCUAAACUCUAAACCCUAAACCCUAAACCCUAAACUCUAAACCCUAAAUCCUAAACUCUAAACCCUAAACCCUAAACCCUAAACCCAAAAUCUAAACCCUAAACCCUAAACCCUAAACUCUAAACCCUAAACCCUAAACCCUAAAUCGUAAACUUCACCCUUUAACUCUAAACCCUAAGUUUGUGACUUUUGAUAAAACAUUAAUUGCUAUUUUUGUGACUUUUGACCUUGAGUGCUAGUUUGAGA
rnacentral:lncRNA from 1 species